GUGAAUGAUGCCAAAAGUCAGGUGUCAACAGAUGGUCUGAAAAACUCCAGCAUUUGGUAAGCAAAAGUUCACCAGUGGGAGCACCUCUUCAGGAACUGGUGCACAGGAAAACAUACACCAGAAACUGAAACAUACAGUUAGAAUCUGAAACCAAAACCUUGAAAGGAGCAGUGACUUCCUCACCCAGGAUUAUCUGAAGAGAAAUCCUCAGCAUAGGUCUCAGACCACCCUAACAAGAUCAUUCCCUCUCUGUUUCCAGAAGGAAGAAAGUCCUGGUCUGUACCAGGGAGCCAAAUCAGAACUACUUCAAGCUGUGGCUGUAUUUACUCUGAGCACCACGCUCCAAACCUGCUAUUUCCAAACAUCCACCGAGCAAAAGAAAAUCCGAUGCACAAGCUUGAGUCUGUCAGCUGGCACAGCGAGCUCCCUGGGCAGGCUCCCUGCUCCUCCCAGCCCCACCAGGGACCGGCACGCAGCUGAUGCGGCUGCAGCACUCGACAGAGCAGAAACGCGGCCGCAAAUACUAACAACAGAAGCAGCACAGAAAAAAACUCGCUGCAAAGGAUUAAGAACAUCAGUCCUGACCUUCUCUCUGUGUGGAAGGAAUUCAAGUGGCCCUCAGGAAAAUGAAAGCAGGAUUUAUUUUAAAUGGACCUUUUAUGGAAAUGACUGUGGUUUCCAGCUCGUCAGAUAGACUCCAUCAAUAAAUAGCCUUAUUCACCUUGC